rnacentral:rRNA from 1 species
AAAACGACUCUCGGCAACGGAUAUCUCGGCUCUCGCAUCGAUGAAGAACGUAGCGAAAUGCGAUACUUGGUGUGAAUUGCAGAAUCCCGUGAGCCAUCGAGUCUUUGAACGCAAGUUGCGCCCUAAGCCUUCUGGCCGAGGGCACGUCUGCCUGGGUGUCACAAA